rnacentral:piRNA from 1 species
AAGACGGACCAGAGCGAAAG